rnacentral:rRNA from 1 species
UACGUAGGGUCCGAGCGUUGUCCGGAUUUAUUGGGCGUAAAGAGCUCGUAGGCGGUUCCGUAAGUCAGAUGUGAAAACUCAGGGCUCAACCCGGAGACGCCAUCUGAUACUGCGGUGACUGGAGUCUGGUAGGGGAACACGGAAUUCCUGGUGUAGCGGUGAAAUGCGCAGAUAUCAGGAGGAACACCGAUGGCGAAGGCAGUGUUCUGGGCCAGUACUGACGCUGAGACACGAAAGCCAGGGGAGCGAACGGG